AUUAAACGCUGGCGGCAGGCCUAACACAUGAAAGUCGAACGAGUGGCGGACGGGUGAGUAAUGUCUGGGAAACUGCCUGAUGGAGGGGGAUAAAUACUGGAAACGGUAGCUAAUCCCGCAUACCCUCGGAUGUGCCCGGAUGGGAGUAGCUAGUAGGUGGGGUAAAGGCGCACCUAGUCGACGAUACCUAGCUGGUCUGAGAGGAGGACCAGCCACACUGUAACUGCGACACGGUCCAGACUCCGACGGGAGGCAGCAUUGGGUAAUAUUGCACAAUGGGCGCAAGCCUGAUGCAGCCAUGCCGCGUGUAUGAAGAAGGCCUUCGGGUUGUAAAGUACUUUCAGCGGGGAGGCGUUACCCGCAGAAGAAGCACCGGCUAACUCCGUGCCAGCAGCCGCGGUAAUUC
rnacentral:rRNA from 1 species